rnacentral:rRNA from 1 species
UACGAAGGGGGCUAGCGUUGCUCGGAAUCACUGGGCGUAAAGGGUGCGUAGGCGGGUCUUUAAGUCAGAGGUGAAAUCCUGGAGCUCAACUCCAGAACUGCCUUUGAUACUGAGGAUCUUGAGUUCGGGAGAGGUGAGUGGAACUGCGAGUGUAGAGGUGAAAUUCGUAGAUAUUCGCAAGAACACCAGUGGCGAAGGCGGCUCACUGGUCCGGUUCUGACGCUGAGGUGCGAAAGCGUGGGGAGCGAACAGG